GGGGAAUUUUCCGCAAUGGGCGCAAGCCUGACGGAGCAACGCCGCGUGAGGGAUGAAGGCCUCUGGGCUGUAAACCUCUUUUCUCAAGGAAGAAUAUCUGACGGUACUUGNNGAAUAAGCCACGGCUAAUUCCGUGCCAGCAGCCGCGGUAAUACGNGAGNNNCAAGCGUUAUCCGGAAUUAUUGGGCGUAAAGCGNNNNNNNGCGGCCUUGAAAGUCUGUUGUUAAAGCGUGGAGCUUAACUCCAUUUCAGCAAUGGAAACUACAAGGCUAGAGUGUGGUAGGGGCAGAGGGAAUUCCCGGUGUAGCGGUGAAAUGCGUAGAUAUUGGAAAGAACACCGAUGGCGAAAGCACUUUACUGGGCUAUUACUAACACUCAGAGACGAAAGCUAGGGUAGCAAAUGGGAUUAGAUACCCCAGUAGUC
rnacentral:rRNA from 1 species